rnacentral:rRNA from 1 species
UACUCCUACGGGAGGCAGCAGUGGGGAAUUUUGGACAAUGGGGGAAACCCUGAUCCAGCCAUCCCGCGUGUAUGAUGAAGGCCUUCGGGUUGUAAAGUACUUUUGGCAGAGAAGAAAAGGUAUCUCCUAAUACGAGAUACUGCUGACGGUAUCUGCAGAAUAAGCACCGGCUAACUACGUGCCAGCAGCCGCGGUAAUACGUAGGGUGCAAGCGUUAAUCGGAAUUACUGGGCGUAAAGCGUGUGUAGGCGGUUCGGAAAGAAAGAUGUGAAAUCCCAGGGSUCAACCUUGGAACUGCAUUUUUAACUGCCGAGCUAGAGUAUGUCAGAGGGGGGUAGAAUUCCACGUGUAGCAGUGAAAUGCGUAGAUAUGUGGAGGAAUACCGAUGGCGAAGGCAGCCCCCUGGGAUAAUACUGACGCUCAGACACGAAAGCGUGGRGAGCAAACAGGAUUAKAUACCCUGGUAGUCCACGCYCUAAACGAUGWCRACUAGCUGUUGGGGCCGUUAGGSCUUAGUAGCGCAGCUMACGCGUGAAGWUGACYGCCYGGGGAGUACGGUCGCAAGAUUAAARCUCAAAUGAAUUGACGG